rnacentral:lncRNA from 1 species
UCACGUAGUGUCCUUCGUCGCCACUCACAACCUUCAAAAAUGGCCAUGGCUAUGCGCUCCACCUUCGCCGCCCGCGUUGGCGCUAAGCCCGCUGUCCGCGGUGCUCGCCCCGCCAGCCGCAUGAGCUGCAUGGCCUACAAGGUCACCCUGAAGACCCCUUCGGGCGACAAGACCAUUGAGUGCCCCGCUGACACCUACAUCCUGGACGCUGCUGAGGUGAGGCGGUCUGAAUCGGCUGCUGGCGUUAGGGACCCGCCUGCCCGGGCGCGCUUGGCCUUCCUGCUAGCGCAGCUUCGCCUACAUGUGCUUUGAUCAGCCAAUUGGAGCGAACAGCGCCGACGAUCGCAGAGGUUCUGGGUCGGAAUUGCACUAACGAUCAGUGCUGACGAGUCGUGCCCCUCUUCCUUCUUGCUGCUCUGCGACCACAGGAGGCCGGCCUGGACCUGCCCUACUCUUGCCGCGCUGGUGCUUGCUCCAGCUGCGCCGGCAAGGUCGCUGCCGGCACCGUCGACCAGUCGGACCAGUCCUUCCUGGACGAUGCCCAGAUGGGCAACGG